UGGGGUUCCUGACACCCUGAUGAGGUUCUGUUCUUUCCCUGUACAACUGGUGCCAGAGCUUGGUCCACAUAGCCAGACUAUAAAAUUCUUUCUCGGAUAAAAAAUUGACUUCAGCAUUUAAAAAAGUUGCUGACAUUUCUUAGUGGAAACAAGAAUGAGUUUGCUUUAAAGGCAUGUUCAAUAACAAAUAUUUAUAGAUGUAUGAAAUAGAGAAGCCCAUAAUCAACUUCUACAGCAGCACACUUUAGAAGGGCCAUGGCCCCUGGGCCCUUCAUGCAAAAACGCAUCAAUGCAUGAAACAUCUGUGUAAAUUUGAAAAGGUAUCACUUCAAUCACAGGGGGCGUAAAAGUCAACACCAACAGAAAGUCCCGCACUUCAAAUUCAACAGCUUCACAGAUAAGACAGAGGCGUCUGUGCUCUUGAGAAGUCUGCUGAAACUUUUAUGCUGAGUGCAUUUUACAUCCUGCCCUUUUACGACUUUACUACACCUGAGGUUUGAUCAGUAGUUUUACCAUCAUAGAGUCUUUUUGCCCUCAAGUAUCUGUACCUCUAUUGGAAGGUAGAGCUCUUUUAGUACCAAGGAUUAAUACCAGCCAUCUUAUACCAACACUCAUGGGGCCACGCUGACUUUACCGACUCUCUAACUCCCUUUUGGACACCACAAGAAUCUGAGUGAAAAUCUCAACAAUUAUUGAAUAAGUUUAAUGAUUGUAAUGACUUGCUCAGGCCUGCAUACAACAUCAGUAUUCCUAUGAGUGGCCUGAAAUGAACCGCAUCCCUGUACCCUUUACUGUGAGGAGGGAGGGAGUGUGAGAUGCUCAGCUGUUGAUUCCUCAGCAGGGACCGAGCUUCUCUACAGGGCAGCUCUAAGACUGAGAAUACAACACUAAUAGCCUGCAGGGACUCACCCUCUGCUCGCUACCUGGGGCUUCCUGUAAGAAGGCCAAUGGUAGUCAGAGCACACCGCUGUGGUGGAGGUGCAUUAAGUUUACACAUCACAGCCCUUGAAAUGAAACUCAAAGUGACUAACGGUUACAAAGGUUUCUCUGUGGAGAUUGUAAUGUGUCUUAUUCUUUGUAAGAAUCUGCUCCUCUAUGACUUCUGACGGCCAAGUACCCAGGAGCACUGGGCAGUAUUUUCAGACUCUUUACUGCUACUUAUAUGAAACUCAAACACAAACCAUACAGACCACUUUUCUUUCACAUAAUAUCUAGAGAUGACAGAGGUAAAGGGGAGAUGAAACAAUCUUUCCUAAUGUGACAAACUGAGAGCAGAGAGGAGAAGAGAAUUGAAGUAUGACAGGGGCAGAAUGAUUGGGAGACUUGAGAGCCCUGCUUUUUUCUCCUGUUCGCUAUAUGCCUACCCAUUACAUCCACGUAGUGUCAGAGCAGAAUAUGUGAUGUGUCCACCCCAGGGGAAUGAGCAUACUUUAAAUAAUUGACUCUAACCAAUGUUUUCAUGUACCAAAGCCUAGUUACAAAUAUAUUUAGCUAAAGUCAAGAGCUUUUUGCCAUACCCUCUCUGCUCUCUUUUUCUUUUCCCCAGGUGGGCGUGAUUGAGGUGUGUCAGGCACAGACAGGUGCAGGCAAUUGGUAAUCACCAGACUCUCCAACCUCUGCCAUAAAACCAGACCGCAGCCACAACUCUGAUCUGGACCGUUGUAAAGACACAGUUAGUUUACUGAAUUCUGAUCAACCUUGCUGCCUUUUUUGUUGCACCUUGGAUGCUAAUCCUUUGUUUUUUUUAUCACAAUUACCAGCCCAACCUGCCUGCUCCAUUCUACUGAUCUGCAGGACUUCUAAACCACUCAGCCACGCCACACAACUCCUCAGCCUGCCUUCCCUCAUCCUCUCCCUUGACUGAUCCUGCACCAAGGUUCCCUACUUGCUCUCUGGGUCAGUUUGUUCAAGCCAGGGUAGUUCUUAGUUGUGAAGUGUGUUUAGUUUUCUUUUCAGUUUUUAGCCUGGUUAGUUAGUUUUCUGAGUUUGUUUUUUUUAUCUGCUAGAAACUUUAGCUUCUCUGAGUUCAGUUACUUUAGAUUUUUUUUUUUUUUGGUUGUAGAAGUUCCUUUGUUACUUAUCCCUCCAGACAGUAGUUUUCCUUUAGGGGUGUUUAGUUCUUUUGUUUAUCAGACGAUCUCUACUGCCUGCGUUAUUAGCUGUUUUGGUAAUUCAGUAUUUAUUUAUUUAUUUUUUUUGGAUCCGCUUGUCUGCUGUGUCUCUCUGUUGUCUGCGCCUGAGUCUGUGAUCAGCCCCUGUGACACAUUUAUGUGCAAAAAUACAUUUUUCAUCGGUAGUACAGUUUGUUGAUGGAUAUCUCAACAGGACUACAAAGGAAGUAGACUCACAGGUUGAGUUUGUGAAAUCCUGUCACUGUAGACAGCUGCCUGCUGAACAAAUGUGAACUUGCUGGUUGUAUUCAGUCACAAUGGCUUAUAGUGCUGCUGCUGCUGCUGUGGUUGAGAAAAUGGUAGCUUUGUCUCCUGUAAGAAAACUUUUUCCUGCACAUGUAGGUUGAACUGACCACUAACGUCCUUUUUCCUCUGGCUCUUCAAGUCCUUCAACGUGACACAGACUUAGUCUGAUGUGAUUAUAUAGACAGAGGAGAAAGAAAAGCUCCUCAGCUAUAGAUCCUCACCUGAGGCAGUUGUAGGAACAUCUGCAGACUCUGAACUUCCUUUUCUUUGCACAGCCUCAGGCGGAAAUCAACACCACAUCGUCAUCAGGUGGUAAUGACUGAGCGGUCCUAGGCUGCAGCAAAUCUGUUAUCCACUCUCCGUAAUUUAAUUCCAGGCAGAAAAUUGGAAUCAUUGCUACAAAUUAGAUACAACCACACCUGAAGCGGGAACAUGACCCAUGCUGAGCAGAGAUGGAGGGAGGUUUAAAGAGUUCCUGUUAAAGGACAAAUCAUUGAUAAGACCACCUUAGGGUGUCACAUGAGAAUUAACUUAUAAACACAUGUUCAAACUUAAUUUCUGAGAGAAUUACUCUAAACAUGAAGUUUCCGUCCAACACACGCAAGUUUUCAGUAAAAGUAAGACAUGGAGUCUUCAUGAUGACAGACAUAAUAAAAAGAAUAAACAGACAUUGAAUCUGAUGUUUUACUAGGACAGAUCAAAAACGGUGAAUGAUCAUUUUGCACCAAACGAUCUUCUCUGUGUAGAUUGAUGCGUGUUGACACGUAGAGCAGCAAAAAUAGACUCGAUACGCUUCUGAAACUGAGCUGAUACGAGUCCUGUGUGUGUUGCUGCAUUGAUUAGAAUGGCAACAUGACACACGACGCUGACGGAACACGCUCAAUAUGGAUCCUGUAUGUUAUUUUAACCUCAAGUCACUGCAUUAUAAAAGUGAUUAGUUGGUAAAGUAACUUUGACCUCACUUUAUUGUGCAUUUGUACCUUAUUAACAUACCCUGCUUCUGUUCUCUCCCGUGUUUUGGACUCAGAAGUGACCCUGUGGACUGGCCACCUCAGCGAAAUGUGUAGAUACUGGACCUGCUUCCAACAACAAGAGUCUUCAAAAUUGCAUCCGAGUUUAACAUUGUUUUUUGUUUUUUUGAAUUUAUAGCAAAAGUAUACUCAUCAGCUAUUUCCUUAAUGAAAUACCAAAAGCAUUUGAAAGAGACUCAUUUGGCUGAAAAAUUGGUGUUUAACAAGGUCACUCUUCCAACCAAAACACUGGAUUAUAAUUAGCUCCUUUAGAGGAGCAGACUCACCAGUUGAUAUGUGAAGCAUGUCUUCAACAACACUCUUUAAAAUCGGUCAGUUUCGUCCUUCCUGGCUCACACAUUGUGGAGCUGGCAGUGAUUUAAAUAUCAGGCCUUUGUUGUUGAUGGAUGGAGGGACUCCUUCUUCAAGCCAACGUGAGCAGCACCCGUAUCGCUGCUGUUUGCAGCACCAGGCUCUCUGGCAACUCUCUUUAGAGAGGUGUGUUAUUAAAUGUGAUGCAUGGAUUAGAAAUGUUAGUCCAGGUAGUGGACAAAGUUUCCCUCCUGUACAAAAGCUAUAAUAUUCUUGUCUUUUAUGUCGACACAGAUGUGUCCCUGACGCCAUAACAAGUCCCUGCAAACAUUUGUAACUGUAAUAGUAUUUUUUAUUGAAUUUGAAAACUGUGCGCACUGCUAUCUACUGCAAGUAGAAGUUUACUACUACCUGGUAGCAACAAUGUAGAAAAAUGCUAACAGUAUUAAAACAGUUAUUUGUAUUAGAGUUGAAGGGUGGGACAUAGUCCAUUUAUUCCAUCCAUGGAUCAGUCUUAGUUCCACAGCACUAAAAUUGAACAGCACUAACUAAACUCUUAACUCUGAACAGUAAACACUCAUAUUAGAAUGCUCCUAAUGUUGAACAUUUAUUCAAAGCGGAGUAGACUCUCAUUGCACACCCUUACAGGCUGAGGAUAAAGCCUUACAGGCUGUUCUGGAUGAGAGAAAGUUUCCUCUGUGCAGACUGCAUGUCUUCAGGUAUCCUGACAUACAUGCAGAAGAGAAAUGAUGCAGAUGAGCAAUGUUCUUUUUGGCUGUCCAAAAACCCCCACCAAGCCCCACCAAUAUACACCCAGCUGGCCAGGAAACACACUCACAACGACACAGUAACAACCUGUACAUACACACAAGUUUGCACACCAGCACCAGCCCAGACUCCAUGAUGGCACGACCAUCUGCCCCCAGCUACAAACGGAGAGCGAGUUCUUUUGACCCUGAGCGAGAUGUUUGGGCUAAUGGGGCUGGAGCGUCUGCAUUCACCCAAUGUGCCAGCUCUCAUUAGAUGAAAACACCACAAACACACACAGUCAAACACACUCAUACUGCACAAACUAACACAUUAAGCAGAGUCCACACAUGCAGUAUUUAGGUAGAGGCAACAUGCUGCAAACAGCCAUUCAUACUGCUGUUAUUCAUCGCCUUAACAUGUAUAUAAGGUGCUAUUUUUUACAAUCUUGUUUUAGGCUUUUGUGAUGACAGUUUGUGUUGAUGUUACAUAAUUCAGUUUGUAACAUAAAAAUUGACUUUGGUGGAUGACAAGGCCGGCUGAUCUGCAACAGUACAGUUGAUCUCCAUUAGUGUUUGAACACAUGUAGAAAUAACGCAGCCUUGUAAAAACAAAAUCACACGUUUAUAACAAAUGCAAAGACACAAAUGCACAGCAAAAACAAUAAAAUUACUGGCUAGAGUUAGUCAUCAAUACAAUGUCACACAGUAAGACUGCAAAAUCGAAUACACACACCAAACUAGAAAAUAAAUGCAGAAAAAAAAAUCACUGCAUAUUCUGCGGUGGAUCCAGACUUGACUUGGCGGCCGAAUUGGGCCAAAGACUUUUGUAGGGUUGGCCAUGAGUGGUCACUGUGUUGGACUGAAGACAUUUAUCUCCACUAAUCACAUUCACUUAGCCUCAAACAAAAAAAGCUUCACAAAAUGUUUUUGACUUUGUUUUAAGCCAGAAAAGGUAACUCAAGAAAAUUGGCAAUAUUUUUUAAUCAGCUGAACGCUUCCAAUUUAAUGUUUUUAUCUUUUAUUUUGUACUUUAUCUUUGAAUUUUCUGCAUUUCAACACACUUGCUGUUAAUUCUGUUGUAUUAGCUUUUUAUUUGCCACACCUUUCUUGUGCACUUGUGCAUAGUGCUGUCAUACAGGGUAUAUGGCAAUGCACUAUUUUUGUCUUUUAAUUGAAUUGAAUUAUUAUUAUUAUUAUUAUUAUUAUUUGUAUCUGUAUUUGUAUUUACAACUUAAAACAGCAUACAAACAAAUCCCACACAGACAGGACAAAAACGCACUCCAAAAAUAAAUAAAUAAAUAAAAAAGAAAAGGGGGGUGGGUCCUUUAAUGUUCAUCAAAGAGAAAAAAAUAAAAAGGAAUAAAGAAGGAUAAACCAAUCAAUUAAUGAGACUGUUGUAGAUAAUGUCCCAGUUGUCAUCCAAAUUUUUGUCUUUUAGCAGGCAUGCUGCCCUUUCUAUAUUCAGGAGAUCUAAAAAUUCUCCCAACCGUGACUCACUGGUGAAACAUACAGGUUUGCAAACUUUCCAAUAUAUUUUUUUUAAUUUCUUAAAUUAUUUUUUUAAGUUUUUUUCCCACCCUUGUUUACCACCAUGACCAGGACAAUUUUGAACACAAUUCAGUCGUAGUGAGUAUCAGAAAUUAUUUUAAUACCAAACAUGUAUCUUUGUUUUGAUAGGAGAAAACAAAAGACUAGUUUUUAUAAAAAGUGGAAAACAUAAGGUUAAUCUGAAGCUUUGAGUUUUGCACCAUGGCAGCCACUAUCUUAUCAAGUGGCAGGAUAAUGAGCCUGUAAGAUUCAAUUCUGUUUGUAGCUGACUGAGUGCUUCAUUUUUGUAAGGUUGAAUCCUCGUUGAUGAUAAAUGACAACAAUCCUGAUCAAAGCAGUUGCUGUAAUGUACCAAAGGAUUUCCCUGGUUGCCAUUAUUAAUGUGGCCCUAGCUAGAAGUGUGACACCUGAUUAGGACAUCUUGUGCCUCAUGCAUAUAACCCCCUACAGUGAACGUGCUUGACUUUGGACACUUAGGAGAUAAAUGAUAUUUUAUCACUGGACUGGGACCCAGUAUGGUGCAGAAGCUGAACAUUGAUCUUUCUCUGCAACAGAGCUGAGGAGGUUCUGUGAGCUGAAGGCUGCAAGUGCAAACUUGACGCCUGGGUUGAGGUGUUAGAUUUAUCGUAUUCAUCUCACUGUAUCCAUGUAACUCUUGUAAUACUGUAGGUAUGACGCUAUCUAACAACCUGUCUACACAGCAUGAGAAGCACGUUAGCUUCACCUCUGCAGGACACCCACCUUUUGGCAGUAUUGUGUUCUAACUCACUUUUUCAUGCAUGAAAGAAAAGACAAAAGACAAGGUGUAAAAAUGAGCCUGAGGUCACACUUAUGGUGUUAGAGCGAGGAUAAACCAUUGUGCUUCCUUUGUAGACAGCUGGGUUGACUAAAAAAGGAGUGCAUAACACACUGAAGACAGGGUUGCAAACCUCUUUAAAUGCAGCCAAACUCCUGAAAAACAGAAGCAGAAAUCAAAAGCAUUAAGAAUCAGCUUCUGGAGGAAAAAACAAUAAAUACCCAUAACUGUAUUUUCAUGGCUCUGAAAUAUCAUGCUAAGCUUUCUGAGUCAAACUUAGAAAACAUGUUUCUCUACCAGUCCAACCCUGACGCUUCUGGAGACCUCGGACCAGUUGUCACUGAGCCUUUUUGCUUUGUACCAAAACUGUAUCAAACUGGCUGAAAUCCAGACUAUCAGGCCUCACCACCUGCAGCCAGCUACAAAACUCACAUCUGACCGGUCUUAAUGGUCUAACAGUGAGUAAAAUACAGUACAGCUCAUUCUGCAUUUAUCGGAGAAUGACUCAGUAUUUUCCUUAUCAUAGUUAAAAAAGACAUCUUUGGUGUGUUAAACUCACUCAUGUGUCUGAAAGACCUUUUUUUCAGAUAACUAUUUUUAUCACCAUCAGCGUUUAGUCAGAUUGGGUUAAGAGCUCCAUCUGGGGCCCAAGCUGCUCUUCCCGCCAGCUACUCGUCUUAUUAGCACCUUUUACACAAUUCCUGCCGUGACAGUAAAGGAAAGAGGAAGCCCAGCCCACCUGCCCCAUCUGCUGUAUGCUGAUGUCAGAUGCUGUCUGUUGUUAGAGCUGGAGCCUGUUUGCCUCAACAUGCGGACAGUGUUUUCAGAUAUGGCUGAUAGUUUCCAGUCUAAAAGCUGUCCCAAAACCACAAAAAUGCAGUAAAAUUAAACUUUUCCUGCAUGAAGCAUGCAUUUGAGCUAGACUGCUGUAAAACUUCAAUGAAAUGCAGACUCUCCAGAGCAUCAUUAAACCUAACUUGACAACCUGACAUUUAGCCAAAGAUUUCAUAUCAGUUGUAAGGGACCAGACAAAAGUUUUAUGAUGAAUUGAAAGUCCAAGCUUCUCCAUGUUUCCUCCUUGAUGGUUUGUCCCAGCUCCUGUGGGUAGGGUUUAAGAGGCCAUCGUGGAGCUGCAGGUGGUCUUUUGUCAAGUGAGCUCGAGCAAAGACAAACAAAAAGGUAUUACUUUGAAAUGAAAUAAACUUAAAUUAAAACAUAAUGUAGACAAUUAAACCAUGUGACAGUUUGUUAACUAAACUGUGAACAGUUACCUAUCAUUUUAACUGGGCAGGCUUGAUGGAAUUUAUAAAAGUAGGUCUUAUUUGUAGCCCCAGUUGAUGCCCCCGAUUGAUGUCCCUCACUGUGUCAAUACAAUCCUUGUCCUUUGUUAUUUUGCUCCUUUCUAACAUACACCAAAGUCUCUACACAGCUUGUUGACUAAACACUUUUAUUUAAAGCCCAGGUUUAAGGCUGAAUGUUGACGUCACUUUAAUGGUACUACCUGGACUGAACAAUCAAGUGCUGAUACCAAAAAGUACAACAUCUGUAAUAUCAUCCCUCAAUAUAACCUCAGAAAACACAACACAUACCUCAGUGAUUUUCCUCAAGUCAGCUGUCUGUGCCAAUCACAAUGUGCCAUUACAAUCAAAAUGGUAACCCUUUCUUUUACAGUACACUUCUUACCAGGUAAUUAACAGGUAAUAACAACAUGAAAUUAUCUGGUAAUUACAUGAUAACUACUAAGUCAAUACUGUCUAGCUACCAGGUAGGUAACCUUCCAUCAUCAUACAAAUUUGAAGCCAAAUUGCUCUGGCAUUUCCAGGAUUUUCUCAGCUUCUUGGAACCACCACUUGCGCAACAUCUAUAAUGAGCCGAGUGAUAAUGCUCGGCUCAAACAGCGUAUCGCUAUGCAAUCUUUGCAUGCCAAUAGGCUGGAUCAAGUGUCAAUCAUAGAAAAUAAGAACCCCAAAUAGCUUUUGAAAAUGGAGCUGCACAGAAAAAAGAAAAACUAGACAGUAUUGACUUAGUAGUUAUCAUGUAAUUACCAGAUAAUUUCAUGUUGUUACUAGGUAAUUACCUGUUAAUUACCUGGUAAAAAGUGUACCGUAAAAGAAAGGGUUACCAUCAAAAUCAUAGGUGACUCUCAGAUUUAAGGUAUGUGCCAGGUACAGGGCGCUUACGCUAGUCUGAGUGCACCUCACACCUUUUAUGGAGGCUCAUUUUCAUCCAUUUAGUUUAGUGAGCUGCAAAUCCUUCCUCAAAGCCAGACUCAGACCAUCAGAGUUUUGACAUUCAACCAAUUUUGAAAUCGGGGUGCAUCAUAUGAAAACUUAUCAGAUGCACAUCUUUGUCAAGUCACCCACACCCAAAAAGUACAAAAUAGUUUGACCAAAACGAGACACACUGAUGGGAUAAUGAACUGAAUGAGCUUACAGGGAGCAGGGCUAUACAAAUACAGACCAGCUUGGUGGAAAUGUAACUGCAGUGAAAUAAGCAGAGACUCAAGAAGGGAAGACAGAAGGUUAUACAAGCCUGGAUAAAAUAUUUGGAGAGACACAGUUAACAGUAGUCGCCAAUUCCUCAGCUGGAGCCUUAGGUGAGAUAUUAACUGUCAGUUUUAAUAUCUGUCAACAGUGGUAUACUAGCUAACGUUAGCCUCGGGGUCAGAACUUGUGUGCUUUGUAGCGGCAGUGUCUCUUUGGAGUCAACUUUGUUUGCUUGCUUCUUAAAAUACCUCUUUCAUAACAGCAGUCCGGUUUGAAACUCAAAUGUCAAAUAUGUUGGAAUAGCAGGUAAUCCUCCAGAGCAUCGAGAGUGGGCCGUUUUUUUUUUUUUUGGGGUGGUUGUGUUGAUGAGGUUGCUGACGUUUAGAAGACAAAGUCACGACUUUUUACCUCUUGGCUUUGUUUAGUUAUCUUAAAGGAGAUCUAUUAGUCUCAUUUUCACUUUCAGUUAUGUCAGUUUGGAACACCUAGAGAGUAGUUUUGUGUGAUCUGCAGCUCAAAAAACUUUAUCUGUGAAAACCCUCAUUUCAGCACCAUCCUGCCUCUGCCUAGAAAGCAUAAUUUUGGCUGAUGCUUUAAUGAUGUAAAGUUAGACAUAGCUUGUGGGUUUUACUUUUCACAUAGUUAUGCAUAUAUUAAACGUUCUCAAAAGGACACUUUGACAGAAAAUGACUAAGGCCGCGCUAGCUUCUGUUAUAAUGUUAUAUAGUUUUAGAAAAAUGUAAUAGAGGUUCUUUUUCUGGUUGUAAGCCGUUAUUAAGGUUGGAGCUAAGGUUAGGGUUAGGUGUGGGGUUGGAGCUAGGGUUAGGGUUAGGGUUAGGGUUGGAGUUAGGGUUAGUGUUGGAGCUAGGGUUAGGGUUGGGCUUGGAGCUAGGAUUUUUCUGAGUGCAAUGAACCAACUCCCGAGUCUCUAGGACGUUCCUAAAAAAAUUUGAUUUUUUCCCAUAGGAAUGCAUGGGUUAGGGUUAGGGUUAGGGUUGGAGCUAGGGUUAGGGUUAGGGUUAGGGUUGGAGUUAGGGUUAGUGUUGGAGCUAGGGUUAGGGUUGGGCUUGGAGCUAGGAUUUUUCUGAGUGCAAUGAACCAACUCCCGAGUCUCUAGGACGUUCCUAAAAAAAAUUGAUUUUUUUCCCAUAGGAAUGCAUGGGUUAGGGUUAGGGUUGGAGCUAGGGUUAGGGUUAGGGUUAGGGUUGGAGUUAGGGUUAGUGUUGGAGCUAGGGUUAGGGUUGGGCUUGGAGCUAGGAUUUUUCUGAGUGCAAUGAACCAACUCCCGAGUCUCUAGGACGUUCCUAAAAAAUUUGAUUUUUUCCCAUAGGAAUGCAUGGGUUAGGGUUAGGGUUAGGGUUGGAGCUAGGGUUAGGGUUAGGGUUGGAGUUAGGGUUAGUGUUGGAGCUAGGGUUAGGGUUGGGCUUGGAGCUAGGAUUUUUCUGAGUGCAAUGAACCAACUCCCGAGUCUCUAGGACGUUCCUAAAAAAAUUUGAUUUUUUUCCCAUAGGAAUGCAUGGGUUAGGGUUAGGGUUAGGGUUGGAGCUAGGGUUAGGGUUAGGGUUAGGGUUGGAGUUAGGGUUAGUGUUGGAGCUAGGGUUAGGGUUGGGCUUGGAGCUAGGAUUUUUCUGAGUGCAAUGAACCAACUCCCGAGUCUCUAGGACGUUCCUAAAAAAAUUUGAUUUUUUCCCAUAGGAAUGCAUGGGUUAGGGUUAGGGUUGGAGCUAGGGUUAGGGUUAGGGUUAGGGUUGGCGUUAGGGUUAGUGUUGGAGCUAGGGUUAGGGUUGGGCUUGGAGCUAGGAUUUUUCUGAGUGCAAUGAACCAACUCCCGAGUCUCUAGGACGUUCCUAAAAAAUUUGAUUUUUUCCCAUAGGAAUGCAUGGGUUAGGGUUAGGGUUAGGGUUGGAGCUAGGGUUAGGGUUAGGGUUAGGGUUGGAGUUAGGGUUAGUGUUGGAGCUAGGGUGAGGCUUGGGCUUGGAGCUAGGAUUUUUCUGAGUGCAAUGAACCAACUCCCGAGUCUCUAGGACGUUCCUAAAAAAAUUUGAUUUUUUCCCAUAGGAAUGCAUGGGUUAGGGUUAGGGUUAGGGUUGGAGCUAGGGUUAGGGUUAGGGUUAGGGUUGGAGUUAGGGUUAGUGUUGGAGCUAGGGUUAGGGUUGGGCUUGGAGCUAGGAUUUUUCUGAGUGCAAUGAACCAACUCCAGAGUCUCUAGGACGUUCCUAAAAAAAUUUGAUUUUUUCCCAUAGGAAUGCAUGGGUUAGGGUUAGGGUUAGGGUUGGAGCUAGGGUUAGGGUUAGGGUUAGGGUUGGAGUUAGGGUUAGUGUUGGAGCUAGGGUUAGGGUUGGGCUUGGAGCUAGGAUUUUUCUGAGUGCAAUGAACCAACUCCUGAGUCUCUAGGACGUUCCUAAAAAAAUUUGAUUUUUUCCCAUAGGAAUGCAUGGGUUAGGGUUAGGGUUGGAGCUAGGGUUAGGGUUAGGGUUAGGGUUGGAGUUAGGGUUAGUGUUGGAGCUAGGGUUAGGGUUGGGCUUGGAGCUAGGAUUUUUCUGAGUGCAAUGAACCAACUCCCGAGUCUCUAGGACGUUCCUAAAAAAAUUUGAUUUUUUCCCAUAGGAAUGCAUGGGUUAGGGUUAGGGUUAGGGUUGGAGCUAGGGUUAGGGUUAGGGUUAGGGUUGGAGCUAGGGUUAGGGUUAGGGUUAGGGUUGGAGUUAGGGUUAGUGUUGGAGCUAGGGUGAGGCUUGGGCUUGGAGCUAGGAUUUUUCUGAGUGCAAUGAACCAACUCCCGAGUCUCUAGGACGUUCCUAAAAAAAUUUGAUUUUUUCCCAUAGGAAUGCAUGGGUUAGGGUUAGGGUUAGGGUUGGAGCUAGGGUUAGGGUUAGGGUUAGGGUUGGAGUUAGGGUUAGUGUUGGAGCUAGGGUUAGGGUUGGGCUUGGAGCUAGGAUUUUUCUGAGUGCAAUGAACCAACUCCCGAGUCUCUAGGACGUUCCUAAAAAAAUUUGAUUUUUUCCCAUAGGAAUGCAUGGGUUAGGGUUAGGGUUAGGGUUGGAGCUAGGGUUAGGGUUAGGGUUAGGGUUGGAGUUAGGGUUAGUGUUGGAGCUAGGGUUAGGGUUGGGCUUGGAGCUAGGAUUUUUCUGAGUGCAAUGAACCAACUCCCGAGUCUCUAGGACGUUCCUAAAAAAAAUUGAUUUUUUCCCAUAGGAAUGCAUGGGUUAGGGUUAGGGUUAGGGUUGGAGCUAGGGUUAGGGUUAGGGUUAGGGUUGGAGUUAGGGUUAGUGUUGGAGCUAGGGUUAGGGUUGGGCUUGGAGCUAGGAUUUUUCUGAGUGCAAUGAACCAACUCCCGAGUCUCUAGGACGUUCCUAAAAAAAUUGAUUUUUUCCCAUAGGAAUGCAUGGGUUAGGGUUAGGGUUAGGGUUGGAGCUAGGGUUAGGGUUAGGGUUAGGGUUGGAGUUAGGGUUAGUGUUGGAGCUAGGGUUAGGGUUGGGCUUGGAGCUAGGAUUUUUCUGAGUGCAAUGAACCAACUCCCGAGUCUCUAGGACGUUCCUAAAAAAAUUUGUUUUUUUCCCAUAGGAAUGCAUGGGUUAGGGUUAGGGUUAGGGUUGGAGCUAGGGUUAGGGUUAGGGUUAGGGUUGGAGUUAGGGUUAGUGUUGGAGCUAGGGUUAGGGUUGGGCUUGGAGCUAGGAUUUUUCUGAGUGCAAUGAACCAACUCCUGAGUCUCUAGGA
rnacentral:lncRNA from 1 species